CGCCGUCUUCGUUUCUCUUUCUUCUCGGGACGCGCCAUUGUCAUGUGCCGCCAUUGUCAUGUGUCAGUAUCAUCCAUGUGGGGUUUUGCGCGGCUCUUUGUGCCGCUCUGACAUUUGGGUCGGCGCGGCGCGGCGUUAUCGCUGCUCUUUCAUGUGGCGGGGCCUGUAGCUCAGUCGGUUAGAGCGCACCCCUGAUAAGGGUGAGGUCGGUAGUUCGAAUCUACCCAGGCCCACCAAUGCCGUUCACAGCGGUGUUGCAUGAUAAAAAUCAUGUCAUGUAAGGGGCCAUAGCUCAGCUGGGAGAGCGCCUGGUUUGCAACCAGGAGGUCGUCGGUUCGAUCCCGUCUGGCUCCACCAUUAUGUUUGCGUGCGGUUCAUCCUUUAAGAUGCAAUUUAUCGACUGUCAAACAUGCUUUGUGUUUUAAACGCAAGGUGCGCGCUAGGCGGUGUUUAUCGCUUUAAUUCGCGUGUGUUCAGCGCGAAGGUUUUUGCUUGAGAUGGCAAUGUGUCACCGAGAAAUAUGAUUUGCUUCGUUCGUGAGAAACAAUUCCAUGGGUGAGGCCGUUUACUGACAUCGUUGAAAGAAGUUUUGUCCGCAUGCCGUUAUCAAAGCGGUGUUCAUGGGCGUGACCGUUUGGUUGCGUGCUUGUGUGUCGGGCAAAUCUCAUGUUCUUUUAAGUAAAGAAGGUCUUUCUAUGUCGAUAGAACGCUUCCGUUUUAUGGGGCGGUGAAUAUCGAUAAUGAGAGUAAUCAAGUGCCUUAAGAGCAUUUGGUGGAUGCCUAGGUGGUAAGAGGCGAUGAAGGACGUGGUACGCUGCGAUAANCCNNGGANAGUUGCAAAAAACUUUGAUCCNCGGAAUUCCCAAUGGGGAAACCCGG
rnacentral:misc_RNA from 1 species